GAAAACGUCAAAGAAAUGUGGACAGAAGUACCUAAGACAGGAAAGGAAAGAAAAAGUCCAAACCAGUGAACAAAGACAGAUACAUCUCCAAAAUGUUCCUCCGAGGGGACUCUGUGAUUCUCAUUCUUAGAAAUCCAAUGGCAACUGCCAAGUAGGGUGGGGAAGAAACUGUUAAGUAGGGGGAGGGGUAGGGGAGAAAGUGUGUAAAGUAGGCAGGGAUUGUACAAAGCAGAUUUGUACCUGUGUUAAAAAGGGUCAGUGGAUGCACCCAAUGUAAGCGAGGUUGAGAUGAAUUUACAGCUGACAUUGUGUAGACAAUGCCGGCUGAAGGUCUAACCCUUGCUCUGAUAUCUAACGAGGGGAUGGGAAAUAGUAAUUAUUGUAUUUUAUUAUUUUCUGAUCUCUUGCAAUUUUUGAUGAUCAGUUAAUGUUUUGUAUACAUGUUGCGAUGGUUUUAUAUAAUUUUGUCAUUUAUUGUCUUGUACAUGUGUAUAACACGAGAGAAGUUCAUCUUUCAUUUAUUGUCAUUAAAUCAUGAAACACUUUUA